GACAGAGGGUGCAAACGUUGUUCGGAAUUACUGGGCGUAAAGCGUGUGUAGGCGGCUACAUAAGUCGGAUGUGAAAGCCCCGGGCUCAACCCGGGAAGUGCACUCGAUACUGCGUAGCUUGAGUCUUGGAGAGGUUGGUGGAAUUCUCGGUGUAGAGGUGAAAUUCGUAGAUAUCGAGAGGAACACCGGUGGCGAAGGCGGCCAACUGGACGAAGACUGACGCUGAGACACGAAAGCGUGGGGAGCAAACAGG
rnacentral:rRNA from 1 species